GCUGAAUGGAAGAAACGUAGAUAUUGUUGUGAAGCCUCAGCAAGUUCUAGAAGUCUUGAAGGAGAUACUAAUGAUUGUGUAAAACAGGUUCUGGAUUGUUGUGGAAGACUUGCCACAUGUUAUACAGGCUGCCACCCUCCCCCACGGUACUGAGGAGACUGAUCACAGUUAAUCAUCAGUGCUCUCUACAAGAGACCUCCGGAGACUCCCCUCAGUGCCAGAGUUUUGCCUGCCACUCGCUAGUGUGCCUCCCUCACCGCUCCACCACAGCCCAGCCACAGCACUCUCUCCCCUUAACUCUCACUACUCUGGACCCGUGGAUUUCCCCCUCCCUCCUGCACAAUUCAGUGUUCAAUAAAUCUGUUAAAACUGGC